UACGUAGGGUGCAAGCGUUAAUCGGAAUUACUGGGCGUAAAGCGUACGCAGGCGGCUAUGUAAGACAGGUGUGAAAUCCCCGGGCCUAACCUGGGAACUGCAUUUGUGACUGCAUAGCUAGAGUCCGUCAGAGGGGGGUGGAAUUCCACGUGUAGCAGUGAAAUGCGUAGAGAUGUGGAGGAACACCGAUGGCGAAGGCAGCCCCCUGGGAUGAGACUGGCGCUCAUGUACGAAAGCGUGGGGAGCAAACAGG
rnacentral:rRNA from 1 species